CUUCCUGUUCUCCCCUGACUCAGCCGCGCUCGCGAGUGUCCCCCGGAGCGGCUCAGCCCCGCCCCUCUUUCAUUACCGCUGCGCCACUGACGGGUAGAACGGGGACGCGGCAGAAGGCGGGGCCUCAGAGAGCACUCGCUUGUAAUAGAAGUAUUAAGAAACAGAAAAGAAAGGGAGUAGUAUUUCGUGGAGAUGUCGCUUCCGGUUCCUUUAGGUCCCCCAACCUCCAUUCCCAUGGAGGAAUUGGGAGCUGCCCAUAGAAAAAAUAUUGGACGCUUUCGAAUUUUAGCGUGGUUGUGAUUGAGCAGCAGCGUAGUUCUCCCGUCCCCCACACCGCCGAAACAAAAAGGCGGCGGUUCAUGUACUUUCUAACUUGCAGCACAGUCCACUGAGUGUUUGCUCCAAAGUAAGCUCCGUUGAGUUCAGUAGGACAUGCUCCCAGGGAAGCAACAAGCAUUGUCAGAAUUCAGGGACAUUCCAGCCAAGCAAAAUCACUAAAGGAGGGUCUGAAGCAGAUGAAAUCAACAGUGUGGCAACACAGUCACAAAUGGGGAGACAUCAUUAAACCAUAAUUAACAAUAAGAGUUUGACAAACAAGUACAAAGAGUUUGAAAACCUUUCUACAGAAUGCUAUAAGAAAGCAACAGAAUUUGGAAAGAAAAAUAUACCUAAUGUAGUGCUAAUAUACAUGAAGAAUCUGGAAAGCUUAUUUUACUUUGUUUUAUGUGAGUGGAUAACUUGAUGACUUCCUCACUCUACUAGCAAACCCUACUGAGAGUUUAUUGCUUGUGUCACACUUCUGUGGUGUAAACCUCAGUCCACACUCCUUAGGGUUGUCUCUCCCCUCGCUUGAGAGACUACAGUAGGGCCCCACUCAUACGGCGGGUUACAUUCCGGACCCCUGCUGAAAAGCGAAAACCGCUGAAAAGCGGAACGCAUUGAAUAGAACGGCGCAUGACACCCGAAAACCACCAUAAAAACAGAACAAGUGCUGUAUGAGUGGGACUUUAGUCUAAUUGUGUCUAAUUGAGACUGCCGCAUUAGCGAAGCGCUGUAAAGCGGGGCCCUACUGUAAUAAGGAGGGUGAAUUGAGACAGUUUAUCUUGGUUGUCAUGAAAGGUUAGCAAAUUAUUAGUGGUUUAAUUUAUUACUGCUGCAUUUUUACUUCCAGGGAGCUGUACUUAUGGGAUUUUCAGCUGCUGGUACCAAACCAACUUGGACAGCCUUAGAUACUUGACGCAUUGACUUGGGUGGUGGGCUGCCGUUUGCUGUUCUGCCUCAACAAAAUGCAUGUGCACUGUCACAAUUGGAAGACUGUUCAGCUAAAGAACAGUGUUACGUCCAGAUAAAAAAACCUUUUCACACCAAA